UGAUAAACAUUCUGUUGCCUCGUGCAAUGGUUAAACCCUUUGUGAACCAAAACAUUAUUAGCUUCGGUAGCUUGCUGCAAGACUUUUAGUCCUGUUGUCUGUUAGCCUGCCGGCAGCACCCAAUAAACUUUUAUUUUUGAAUCUUAGUCUGAACAUAAAUUUUCGAAUGAAAAUCA
rnacentral:misc_RNA from 1 species